rnacentral:misc_RNA from 1 species
CAGUCUCCUUUCUCUUUCCUUUUAAUACCUACUGCUGACUACCCUCUCUCUAAACCUGCCAACUAUCAUCACUUAGCAUUCUCUACCUUUCCUCCCUCGCACUUGUUCUUGCUUUACCUCGUUGGUCUCUUCCUCAAUCUUCUCCAGAAGUUGCAACAUCAUCCCACUGGUCUCCUUCAGUUCUUUCUCAAUCUUCACCACCAUAACCUUUUCAUUAAUGCAAUCUCUCUCUGCUUCUCUGGGGUUUCACCUCUUUGGCUUAAUUUUUGCAUUUUGUCCUUAGCUGUAUGUUGAUAUUCAUUCACCAUCUGCAUGAUUUUGUGGG